rnacentral:rRNA from 1 species
AUUGAACGCUGGCGGCAUGCCUUACACAUGCAAGUCGAACGGCAGCACGGGUGCUUGCACCUGGUGGCGAGUGGCGAACGGGUGAGUAAUACAUCGGAACAUGUCCUGUAGUGGGGGAUAGCCCGGCGAAAGCCGGAUUAAUACCGCAUACGAUCUACGGAUGAAAGCGGGGGACCUGCGGGCCUCGCGCUAUAGGGUUGGCCGAUGGCUGAUUAGCUAGUUGGGGGGGUAAAGGCCUACCAAGGCGACGAUCAGUAGCUGGUCUGAGAGGACGACCAGCCACACUGGGACUGAGCCACGGCCCAGACUCCUAAGGGAGGCAGCAGUGGGGAAUUUUGGACAAUGGGCGAAAGCCUGAUCCAGCAAUGCGGCGUGUGUGAAGAAGGCCUUCGGGUUGUAAAGCACUUUUGUCCGGAAAGAAAUCCUUGGCCCUAAUACGGUCGGGGGAUGACGGUACCGGAAGAAUAAGCACCGGCUAACUACGUG